rnacentral:rRNA from 1 species
AGAUUGAACGCUGGCGGCAUGCCUAACACAUGCAAGUCGAACGGGAGUAGCAAUACUCUAGUGGCGGACGGGUGAGGAAUACGUAGGAAUUUGCCCUUAAGUGGGGGAUAACCCGGGGAAACCCGGAUUAAUACCGCAUGACCUCGAAAGAGCAAAGUGGGGGAUCGCAAGACCUCACGCUUUUGGAGAAGCCUACGUCGGAUUAGCUAGUUGGUGAGGUAAUGGCUCACCAAGGCGACGAUCCGUAACUGGUCUGAGAGGAUAGAUCAGUCA